AUGACAGCAUCUCUUUUGUACCUCACAGGUACACUUAGAAAGCAACUGCCUUAAGCACCUGGAGGGGACAAGGCCCAGGUAAGCAGCACUCAGGAUCAUACAGCAGCAGCAAGGGGAGUGCUGAGAGCUUUCUGGACACCUACAGCCUACAAUGGGAGAGGGGAGCAGCCUGCAGGAAGCUUCAGGCACCUGAGCACAGCCUUUGUGACUGUAAUACCACUGCUGUGAGGUGGAGAAAACCCAAAUAGCAAGUUAAAACCCCAGUGAGCAAGUGUGUAAAGGUUUUACCUGCGGGCUCCAAACCGUGACAUCAUUGUCAUACUGGUUGCGAAACUGGAAUGAACAAAAUAAAACUCAUUAGUAUCCCUAAUAAGCUAACACAGUGCUCCUGGAGGAAACCCUGGUUGUUCCCACAGAAUCCCAGCACUACAGAAUCCUAGAAUCAAUAAGGGAUCUCUGGAAAUCAUCCAUUCCAAGCCCCCUGCCAAGGCAGGGUCGCAGAGCAGUGACACAGGAGCACAUCCAGUUUAUGGCCAUUACUCCUCAUCCUGUGCCAGGGCACCACUGGAAAGGGUCUGGCACCAUGCUCUUAGCCUGCCUUUGAGAUAUUUGUACGCACCAAUGAGAUCCCUCUCAUCCUUCUCUGCCAGACCGAACAGGCCCAGCUCCCGCAGCCUCCUCACAACAGAGAUGCUCCAGACCCCUAAGGAGAUAUCCAUACGCAUCCCCACAGGGCCUCGGAACGCUUUGUCCCAGCACGGAAGCAGGGCCCGCUCCCCGCUCCCGUUCGCUCUCACGCCGGCAGCCAGGCCCAGCCCCGCCCGCGGCCCCGCGUGGCCCGGGAACUGCUUACUCACGGGCCCGCUCCCCGCCGCCCGCUCUCGCGGCUCUCCCGCGCCGGCUGGGCGGGCCGGGCAGGCGGCGGGGGUCCCCUGUCCCGGGCCGAGAGCC